GAAUGUAUUCGCUGGCCAGCCCCAUCAGGCCUACAGCCCUCCCCUCCCAAACUUCCCAAACCGACCCUGAAGAAAGUCAGAAUGAUUUACCGAAAAGAUGGGAAACCGGUACCAGCUUCACCAGGACAGCCUCAACCCCCGAAAGGAAGCAGCGAAAGGCCGAGGCAGGAAUUUCCAGUCGUGACACUGAGACAGGACUGGAGCCGUACACAGAACACCGUCUGCACCAGAGAAGCAGAGACGUUUGCUCGUGAUGGCUCCCAGGAAACCUUAAAGACACACAAGCUCAAUGUGACAUUCCGGUAACUCACUGACAGCUUCAUGUAUCACCUGGAGCUCAGCGUGGCUGUGGCCAUCAGCCCAAGGAUACUUAAAGCCUUGGGCGUCAGUCUCGACUCAA
ensembl:lncRNA